rnacentral:rRNA from 1 species
CAGCAGCCGCGGUAAUACCGAGGGUGCGAGCGUUAAUCGGAUUUACUGGGCGUAAAGCGUGCGUAGGCGGCUAAUUGAGUCGGAUGUGAAAUCCCCGAGCUUAACUUGGGAAUUGCAUUCGAUACUGGUUAGCUAGAGUGUGGGAGAGGAUGGUAGAAUUCCAGGUGUAGCGGUGAAAUGCGUAGAGAUCUGGAGGAAUACCGAUGGCGAAGGCAGCCAUCUGGCCUAACACUGACGCUGAGGUACGAAAGCAUGGGGAGCAAACAGGAUUAGAUACCCCAGUAGUCCCUGUCUCUUAUAC